ACCUUUCUUUUUUUUUCUUUCGUAAGCGACGAAAUCGGAUGGAUUUUUUUUGUGAAUAGAUUUUGAAGAUUCAAAAAGCUCUCCCCGUUUGAUUUUUUCGAAAGGUAUUUAUGGGGGUGGUUGUAACCAACCUGAGGGAAACGUGCGCAUGGAUGUGCGGGAGGUUAUGGGAUCGUGGGAUGAUGGAAUUGUGGGUGAUCGUAAUGGGAUCGUGGGAUGUGGGUAGUUGAGAGGAGAAUGUGGGAUAGAUUUUGGACGGCAGCGAUGGGAUUGUGUGGUAAUGGAUGGUUAUGAUAGAAUCGUGGAGAUAUUGGGUGGUUAAGAUGGGAUUGCGGGAAUAUUGCGAAUUAGUCCUUUCCCUUUGAUCAUAUUACACCUUAAUCAAAAUAUUAUAUGAUUAAGGUGGGGCAUUUUGUAAAUAUACAAAAGGGAAUAGACUAAUAUGCUAUUUUAUAUACCGUGCGUAUUAUUUUUUUCGCAAGCCGGUGCAUGAGAUAUUUUCAAAAUUUAAAUUUUAUCCAUGCACCUGGUGCAUGAAUAAUCUCAUAAAUCAUCUCUAUUUUUUAUUUCUUUCUCUCUCCUUUUUUUUUUCUUUUUCUUCUUUUAUUCCUCUCUCUCUUUUUUUUUUUUUUUAUGCUUCAACAAAUGCCCCCCACCUUUUCAAGCUUGUGAAUUAAACAAGGUGGAAAAAGGUGCCGAUCUCCUUUCACGAUUCCGACCUUCAUAUCGCCAUCGAAGGUUUGAUCAUUAAAGAUCUCAGGUAUUUAUAUAUUUUUUAUACCGAUUGAUCUCUUUUGAUGUUAUAUAUAUAUAGGGAAAACUUCAAAAACCCCCCCUGUGGUUUCGUGCAUUCUCACUUUGCUACCCUGUGGUUUAAAACGUAUCAAUUUGCCCCCCUGUGGUUUCAUUUUUAUCUUUUCGGAAGCUUUUUCGUUAAUAUUUUGUUAAAUUAUAUACAAAAAACUUCAAAUAACCAUCUAUAUUUAUCGAAUAGUCACUUUAGUAUUCUUUAAUUUUAACUUUGUCACUGAUUUUAAAAAAUAAUAAUAAUAAAAUUGAUAACAAAAAGAUAAAAACGAAACCACAGGGGGGCAAAUUGAUACGUUUUAAACCACAGGGUAGCAAAGUGAGAAUGCAUGAAACCACAGGGGGAGUUUUUGAAGUUUUCCCAUAUAUAUAUAUAUCUGUAUGCAUGUUUGAGAUCUGUACGAGAUGUAUUUGACCCAUGAAUAGAUUGAUCAUGAUAUCUCUGACUUCAAAACAUCUUAUUUUAGAUCGUAGAUUUUACUCAUACGUUCCAUAUUGUAAUCACUUUUCUAGAUCAUGGAAAAAACGAGCGAGCCAUUAAUUCAUCCCGAUGAUAAAACUUUAGGCGUAUUUAGAGGACUUUCUUUAACGCGUUCACCUCCGAUAUUUGGACGUUCUGCUGAACCCGCGAUUCCUUAUGAGACGCCUAUGUUAAAAGA
rnacentral:lncRNA from 1 species